CCCUAAGGAUCAAAGAGGAAGAGGACUUCAAUCCAGAUAAAAUAAGAUUCUUAAACACUGAAAACUGUACUCAUAUUUAUGGGCCAGAUCUAAUGUUUGAACUCCCGUGCCAAAAGCUGUGCAUUCCACAUGUGCAGCAUGGGGUGUUGCCUGACUGGCUGCUUCCAGGGUUGGAGCGUUGAGCACCCACCCAAAGUUACCCUGCAAUCUAUUCCAGUAAAUAAACUUGGAGUUUUGUUCUCAGAAUGUGUUUGCCAAAUGUUAUUUCCAUAUUUACUUUGCCUUUUAGCCUUAAAUCCUAAAAAAAAAAAAAAUCUCUGGUAGUAUUUUUAUCCUCUAUCUUAUUUCACACCUCUUAAUAAUCUGAAUUCUUACCAAGCGAGCACAACAACAUCUGAAGAUGAAAUCUAUCUCUUUGAUGGUAUGAAACCAUGACCCAACAGGCCCACUCUUCGCCUGGAGGGCUCGUAGGAGAUUCAUGUUAGAUUAUUAAAUCCUUUAGAAACUCAGGUAUAUUUAUUCAAAAUGCAAGGUAUCUAGCAGACAUCACAAUUUUUUCCUCUUUUGAGUUCAAAAGUAAUUUACAAUUAAAAAUAUUUGCUAUUUUGCUCUAUUCCAAAAUAGUUUCAGUUUUCAUUUUGUUCCUUCUGUCUUUCCAAAAAGCUCAUUUGCUUCAAUCCUACAGAAUAUUUAAAUGAGACUUUUCAGCCGUGUCUCACAGAAACCAGCAGGGCAUGCUGGUGCACAAAACUGCUCUUUACCACCAACUAAAAAUAAACAUGCUCCUUUGUCUUCCUUUGGGAGCUGCCUGUGUAAGAUCUUGUUGGCCAGUUCACUUUCUGUGGAGACUUCUACCGCUUACUUACACGUCAAGUUCUCAAAGGCUUCUAUGACAGAUAAAGUGUUCUUAUGCUUUAAAAAAAAAAAAUGUGAAAGAAGUGAAAACUUGCUACCACAUCAGUAUUGUCUUAACUCUUAAACAGGGUAGGAUAUAUAGGGCUGCCUAAAGCUUUAAUUGUUAAUCUUAUUUGUUAUCAUUUUCAGCAAGUUUUAUUUUGAGCAUGUCAUUUUCUUCAGAGUAACGGUUUGCAUUUGGCUGUGGUUUCAUUCACCCCUUCCAGUUAUACCUGAAAUGUCAUCUGAAUACCACCAUGACGUGGGAAAGAAGUCAGUUUACUGCUCUGCUCCUGAACUGGUUUUCUCCUUCCAUCCAAAGCCACAUUUUAAAGAACUUCCUUGUAUGUUCUUGAGUUGUUUGCUGGCAAUUUAAAAUUCACAUGACCAAGUUAAGCAAUCUUUUGUUCCUGCCCCCCCCACUUCUGUCCCUAGUAAAGGCACCAUGCCAUUAGGAUUGCUCAUUAUAACUAUUCAGGCACCUUUGGUGCCGUCCUUUCUUUCCCCCUUCAUUCUUUUGCUCAUACAUUUGUCACUGCUCUUACUCUACUCCUGCUCCUCCUUCCUCCAUGGCAGUAAGAGAAGACCUCUUCCCCUUACCUGGGCUCCUCUUGCCUGCCCUGCUUUCUUUGCUGCCUCUCUUCCAGCUCUUACAGCCCAGAAAAAAAGAAGCUGCUAAGAUAUCUCCUAUGGCUUUUGACAAAAAUAUAUGAGCACUUUCUAUUAACUCCAUGUACAGAUUUUCUUCUGCUUCACUAGAGUAGAAGGAGGAAUUCCUUCAGAGGCACAGUAUCUUACUGUAAAACUAAGUUUGGUUUGAGGCAUGAUCUCCUGUGGAAGUGUCUUCCUGUCUCUUGGCAAUAAUGAUUAUACAGAAAACAGCAGCUGAGAGUUUGAAGCAGAAGCAACACCUGCUGGCGAAACCAAAGUCUGGGAAUCUGCUGAGCUGUCCUCCUGGAAAAGCAGUUUAAGAUAAUGUAAACUUUGCAAUGCAGGGACAUGGACAAAACUUUAGACCAAACACGAGCAGCAGCUCUUCAACUUCACAGCAUUCCCUCAUUAAAGGUAAUGUAGCUACACAAAAAGACUUUCAGUUUAAAGAGUUGCCAGCUUUCAUAAGAACUCUGAAAAAAGAGCCAAAGCAGCAGAGUGGUUUUUCUCCCCAUGAAAAUGGAUUUGAAUAAUGUCUAAGGCUCCAGUGUGUGUUGUCUUGAGAUCAUGAGCAUAUAAUGCACAAGAAGUCAUCCCUACCUGGAGCAGAAAUGCUGACAACGGGUAAACCAUUUGGAGAGUAAGCAGUAUAUGGAAGAAACAUGAAUGCACUCUUCUGCAGUGUCUAUUUCUGCAUACUGUGGUUAGAUUUCUGGGAUGAGUAAUGAUGGGAUCCUCAAUUUCAAAGUGUUUUUAUAAGAUUAAAAAAUAUAUAUUAUAAGGGAUGUUAUUUUAUUCCUGAAAUGUAACACAUACUUUAUAAAAGUGCUUGUUGCACCCUAGGCAUUGUUUAAUGAGGUGAUGGAUAACUGAAGCUGUUACUUCUGUUUUUCAGCCUUUCUUGGUUAAUACACGUUGCUUAAUGUAUUAAUGAGUGUCACAUGGUGUUCUCUGUUUUUAAGAGUUGUUUCCAAGUGUAAUGGAGGUAAUAUGGCCCCAAGUACUCUACUUUCCUGGUUCUGGAUCCCAGCAUGCAGCAAGCGCUUACUCGAAUAUGGCAGUUCGAGUACAUUGUCAGCUUUGCUGCCCACCAGCUCGGGUCUUUCCCAACACCUUUGUGUCACAUUGAGUCUCCUAAAUGAAACAAAGGAGGGUAAAAGUCUCUCCCUAGUGUGAGGCUAGAGUUUGUGUGGCCAUCUGGUAUGUUUGAAGAAAUAAAUGAAUGAACAUGAAAUAAAUGAAAUGAACAU